AACAUAGUAAGUUCUUGGUAAAACAAUAUUAUGAUUAGGCCUUAACAUGACAAUUUCAACAACGAUAAAACAUAAGAAUGAGAAUAAAAUCCGGUGUACAGUAAUCUACCAAAAAAUGCAACUGCCCACUAACUGUCGCACAAACUUUAUCAUUAUUAUUAUUUCCUUUAAAGAAUAAAUUCCAUAACGGAGGCCGGACUAUACUACCACUGGGUCAAGUCGAUGGUGCCGAACUAUACGUCCUGCGCCAGCUCACCCACGAAGAUCACCGUCAGCACCACACUUUCCGUGGACAAUCUCUGGGGCAUGUUUGUGGUACUUGUUGGCGGCUACGUGGUCGGCCUCCUGGUCCUCCUGGGCGAGGUGCUCGCUGGCUGCUGCGUCCUGAGCGCCACCACCUCACAGCCUAGCCGUGCAGAUGACUCUACGUGUGAUUAUUAAUUUAAUCAGUUUCUUUAGUGCAUUUAACAGCUUAUUGUUAGACAAACAGUCCUGGAUCACUGCAAGGCGUAUAAUGUAAUGAAUUAUUAGAUAAAAAAAACUUUAAUAUCAGCCAGUAAAUUUGCAUUGAGUAUUUUCGCCUUUGUUAAUAUUUUUUUCAGUAUCAUAUUACCAGUGUGAUUCGAGAACACGUGACUCAUAAGAUAUGGUGUACAGGUGUUUCACUGUUCCCAUGAUGAUGAUGGCGCUGUCCUGAGCUCACUGCAUACCAUGACAAGGAGAGUGAGGCUACUUCAUUAUACAUUCAACGCUCCAGUGACGUCUAGAUAUCUUUUGGCACAUAUUGCUGUGCUUUUCUAAGUGCGAAUAUAUGUCAUAGCAACAUCCAUGAAAUAUAUGAAUAAAUAUCAAAGGCAGCCUAACGAAUUGUGCGUAGUUCAGGAAAUUUCCUGUUCUGGAACAUUCGUUCACGUCGGCAUGCUCAUACAAAGUGACAUCCUGUGGACGUGACCGUAACACAGACGAGUAUGUCUUUGUUGAGCUUCGUAGCGUCAUGUUGGUCACGUGUGUGAUUCCUGUAUAUUGGGUGUAAUUCAUGAUGGUUGUGGUCGUCGUGCUCAUUCCAACCACAAACUAAUAUAAUGUGAACCGAUGACAUACUAGACUUUAGUUCCAAGAGAUUUUGGGUGGGGAAGCAAUUGGCCGAACCAGUGUAGUUUGGAAAUCUAACAGGAAUAUGGUAAGUGAACAGCACAGCAACCUAGACUAUAUCGAGCAAGGCAGAGUAUGAAAUAAAAAAACCAGGUUCCAUAAUAAACACAAGGCGGAUACACAAACAACGCACUGAUGAGCGGGAACGAUGGAAAAUUAUCUUAUUGCUGUACUGGACUAAACUAUAGUGAAGAAUUGUUGAUAUUUCAGACAGUCAAGCCUUCGACCGUGCCCUCAUUGCAGCCUGAUGUCUGCUAAAGGGACAAGGUUUACAGGACACAGAUAAUUCCACCGUGAACACCACGGAGGCGCUAACGAGGCCCAGCAACACCAGCAGCAGCGGCCCCUGCAUGUGCACCAAGCUGAGAGCGCUCACAAGCCUGCCAGGGUUCCCGGAACCCUCCCUCUCCUCUUCUUGAUUAACUUGUCGUGACUUCAUUCGAGUUUUUUUCUUGAUUACGUCCAAAAAUUCUUCCCUCCAUCUCUCGUAUAGUCCAGCCUUUGGGUUUUAUUGCAUUAAUGAUUUAGUAGUUUGAUCGUAAUGUAAGUAAUACUAUGUCAAGAUUUGAACUUCAAAACUUCAUAAUCUGAACCUCACCUCGAGCACUGCCACCAUGAUCGUGUCCACUUGUCGCUUAAAGGGCGCGUCGUGAGGUAGCGGCCAGGCUGUCAAAGUGUGCGACACACUUUCACGCCCCAGGUAAAUUUCAGUGCUGCCGUCCGCUAAUAUAAAGUGACUUGCUAUUAUCGUGGCGACGUAGCUCCUCCAGCCAACAUGCGCUUCCCUGUAAGAGUGGGGAGUUAAGAAAACUUUUUCCAACGUUAUCUGUCUUGUCUGUUGAAAUUAACGAAACAAGAUAUCUCACCAGCCAUCACGUGUCCGCUGCAGUGUUUCCAGGACGCUGGAGGCAAGAAACAUCUUUUCCCCCAUCUCCCUAAUCACGGGUGUGGAAGAGUUUCUAAAAUUAUCGAUAAAUACUUGUGCGAAAAGUGGCACUGAUAUCCUGAAAAAAAAAAAAAAAAAAACUGCUGAGAUAACGAAGACCGCUCCACAUUUUGACAAUGAAAUUUACAUGUAUAUUUACAUUCCCCACUGUCCUCUCCAUAUUUCAUACAUUUUCCUUUAACCUUCAACACGCAAUGUUCACCUGUCGAAAGUCUUCACUAAGUCUGCGAUGGUCUCCGGCCGCGGCGGGUACUUGGGCAAGGUGAGGGAGGCCGUCAGGUUCCCGCGGUACACUGUUCCAACUAUGAAGGCGAACAACAGCCACGCCGCCACCAGGGCCCGGAUAGCGUGUGUGUUGGGAGGCUUUACUGGUAAGUCCUGGGCGAGGAGGGUGGCGAUGACAGUAUGAGAGGACACUCCGAGACUCAUCCUGUUUUCCGAUAUGAGCCAAGUUGCCAACAGAUUCGCCUGGAAAUAGGAAACAACUAAGGAUUACAAUGGAAACACUUUUACUUACCAAUACACAAAAUACACAUCUUUCGAGCAAAUACAUGGAUUACGGUGAAUAAACCGCGCUUGUGUGAUAUACAACGAAUAUCAGAGAUUAGUUCAUGCGAAGCCUACCAAGAAAAGAGAGAACGGCACGAUGACAAGCACCGCCAGAACAGCCAGCCACACGUAGUCCGACAGCGGGUAAUAGAGGCUGUGCCACUUAGGACUGAGGGAAGGCACAGCCGCACAGAAGUCUAUGGAGCCAAACUCAUACCCAUAGGAAAAGUCGUACAUUGCCAGACGCUGAGCCACCGGCACGUGAUGCACGGGCGACAUGAAAGCCUUCCUUUCGGCGACUAGUUGACCUAUCUGCCAGAACAAGUAUUGCUCAUCUUUCAACACGUAAUUAGUAUUGUACCAUUCUAUUGAUUCAUUAUCAAAUCACUUUUCAAUCUCACCUCUCUUUAGUAUGAACGUGAUAAUUGUGUCCUGCAGCUGUAAGAAAUAGUCUGCGACUAUUCCUACACAGUCAAGUCUCACCUCUUGCCAGCUACUUGUUGGAAUAUUAUAAAUCUUGAAGUUGAGGUAGUGGCACAUCACAGAGAGCAGCUGGUAAUCCGUGCCCGAGUAUAUCUUCACGGGUCGCCCGUCCUCCGCCUCCUGCACAGUUUCAUCCCAGUAUGGGGCGUAAGGAAGCGCUGCCACAUUUAUUGUAGCACCGUGGAAACUUUAGGAGGGAGAGACGGGAAAUUAGCUCUCCGGAAUUUUUAAUAUGUCCAGAUUAAAGUUCAUUGGAAAAUUUAAUUAUUCCACUUACUCAGAAAAUUUCUCAGGGAAAGUUGUGAAAUGUGAUGCAUUCUGGACAAGGGCGCUGUGUUUCCAGGUGGCGGCGCUUACCACCUGUGGGCCGCGGGGACUGUACGGCAGGUGUGAGUACGCACUGAACCUGUCAUUGAAAAUCAAGACAGUAUGGAAAGAUACUUAACUAAAAGAAAGGACGUGCUGCAAAUUAUGAUGCAAUGCUAUGAAAAAUUGUUUUCUUUUCUUUCCCAUAACCUAUGAAAAAUAUUAAUUUAAUUAUAAUCAUGUUUCAUUACUAGAUUGCAAGUGAGCAAAAUAAGUACCAGUUUCCUGAAGAGUCUUGCUGCUGGUUGAGAAACAUGGCGUUCAUCAUGGAGAAGGUCCAGUGGGAGGAGAGGAGGCGGUGCACCUGCUGCAGCGUUAGGCGGGUGAGGACAAGGAGCCUCGUGGCCCACACCAGCAGGCGGUGUUGCAGCGAGGACUCGGCGAAGGCGGCGAGGAAGUCUGGGUCAUCACUCACCACCACCACCGUCACGCACCAAGACCCACGGCGAAUCUGAUGAAGUAUUCACUCAACUAUGGCGAGAGUCAACUCAAAGCUUUCAGUUCUCCAGCAUCGAGGCACACACUCUCAUAGAGACCAGAGUUCGGUGACAGCCUGUGCACCACAGCCUUGCUCACCUUCCUCGCCUGACGCACCGCCUGGGACAGCUGCGUGGUCCACGUGUCGUUAGCAGCUUCACUGGCCACCUGAGCCUCAAACACUCCAACAGGAAUCCCAAACUGACCCACCAUCUGACGCCAACGUGAUGCAAGUGGUACAGCGUGACUCGCCUAGGCUUGCAAGCUUAAUCUCCAGUCUUAUCUUAUAAUAUGUCUAAUA